CAUUACGCAAGUAAGUAAGAUCCCUCAAAGAUGAUGAGGUGGAUAGGUCUGGGGUGUAAGUACGGCGACGUAUGUAGCUGACAGAUACUAAUCGAUCGAGGACUUAACCUAUU
rnacentral:rRNA from 1 species